CCCUUAGAUGAUCUGGGCUGCACGCGCGCUACACUGGUACGUGAAGCGAGCGCGUCGUGGCCCGAUAGGGUUGGGAAAUCUUGUGAAUGCGUACCGUGACAGGGAUAGACUAUUGGAAUUAUUGGUCUUGAACGAGGAAUUCCUAGUAAGCGCGGGUCAUCAACUCGCGCUGAUUACGUCCCUGCCCUUUGUACACACCGCCCGUCGCUCCCUCCGAUUGGGUGUUGAGGUGAAUAGUUCGGAUGUGCGCUCGCAAGAGUGUGCAGAAGUUCCGUAAACCUUAACACUUAGAGGAAGGAGAAGUCGUAACA
rnacentral:rRNA from 1 species